GGACACGGCUGCUUACCUGCAUGGUGAACCCAAAGCAUCCGAAGGAGUGUGGUGUCAUGCAGGCACGUGAACGAGGACAACAGGAAAUGCAAACUAGCACAGCUACAGCAGUGCAGACCACAGGCAGGAAACCUGGAUAGAUGAGGGCCAUGCUGCCUGGCUUGACUUGCCCCCAGGUGACCCAACUUAUAGGCCCUCCUGGUCCCCAAGGGCCAAGGGAUAGUUAGUGAUGAUAAACGAGAAGGAACUGGGUUUCUCUGGCAGCCCAGAGGCAGGAAGAGAGAGGCAGCAACCAAAGCAUGGUGCCCCGGAGAUGGCAACUCUCCAGGGUGCCAGAGAAAGCAGCUGGCAUACGUGGGCUUGAGGAGGACUCUUGGGAACAGCUCUCCUUAGAAACUUGGGGAGGAGACCCCCUAUAACAUCCAAUUUAGGCCAUGCAGGUCACAGACCCCAGCUGCUCUCUCUCAUGGGCAGAGCUUCUGUCUUCAGACCUUGAGAUAUUUUGCACCACAUCUCCUGGGGGUUCCUUGGAUGUCCUUGAAGAAGUCACAUUGCUGUUUCUAGGUUUCAUGAGUUCUGGGUAACAGUUCCAGGUAUGCUGAUCUGUGCUGUGUGGCAUUGGGCACGUCACUGAGCCUCUCUUAUCCUCCGUAGUCUAAAUAUAUGUGAAGAGAAUGAUCACAGUGGCCUUGCCACAGGGAAGUUAUGAGGACCCACAAGGAUAAUAAGCAUGAAGAAUUUAGAAAGUAGAAUAUAACUAUGUUAUUAGUAUUAAUAGUGGUAGCAGCAAUAAGUUAAUAUCAGUAGACCCUUGUUGAGCAUCUACUAUGUACUAGGUGCUGAGGUGGCCAGAUGUGUGAUACAUAGGACUUCUACUUCUAGCUGCUUAUAAACUUCACGUAUAUGAUAAAAUUAAUAAUACUAGCUAAGACUUCGAAAGGACUAGUGUACCAGGCACUGCUCUCAGUGUUUUAUGUAUUAAAUAAUUUAAUCCUCCCAAUAACCUUACUAUGUAAGCUGCUGUUAUCACCAUUUCACAGAUCAGGAAACUGAGGCAUAGAGAGAUCUAGUAACUUUCUCCAAGUCAGGUUAUCUGGUUAAGAGUUGGUACCAGCAUCGAAUUCAGGCCAGUUAGUUGUAGAACCCAUAUUCCUAACCACUACUACACACGGUCUUUUGAGCCAGAAGCCCUGCUGGUGGUUUUCAGGACUCCGCGUGAUAGCUAUGCAAGACAGCUAUGUCUGUGUGGGUUCAAAGCUUGGGUUAUGAACCACUUCCCCAUGCAGCCUUCGGAGCUCACCAGUGAGACGUCCAGAGAAGGAUAACUAAACUAAACUUCUCGAAGUCAUUGACAUGAUACACAUAACCAGUAGGAGGCAUCUUUCAGGCUCGCUUGAGCAGUGAUGUGUGGACAAAUUAUUGAAGGGACCAUCAAGUCAGAACCCAGAGACAGUCCUGGGGAAGGAGAGGGCUGAUGUCAAGGCAGCUAGCUACUGCAAACAUGUAGCGUAUUGGGAAGGGGGCCAGGAGAGCAUAUCCACCCAAACACGCUCUCAUCCGCCUGGCACCAGCCCCCCGCAGCGCCCCUCAUUGACCACAUCCAACCAUCAUCCAGCAGGCAGUGGGGUCCUCCCACUGCUGCCCUGGUUGAUGUAGGCCACACAUGACAGCCUCCUGGGGCCCAGAACUUGGUAGAAAAGAAUGGAGAUUGCUCUGCAGGAAUAGACAGAGAAUAUCCAGAGGAAUGAUAAAACUCAGCUUCAAACCCAGAGUUUUCUCCCGCUGAAGCCUGAAUUUUCAAUCAUUCUGCUGGAAGGACGUGGUGACGUGGCGGUGCUAGUACCAUGCACGGACCUGCUUGGGAAAAAUCAAAGCUCCAGGUAGCAGGCUGAUCGGAUCUUCGAUACUCAGCUGACGAGAAAUUCAGGAAGCCCUCCUUCGAAAUCAUGUGUACAUGUUACAUUGGCACCCAUGCUGAGAAAAAUUUUUAUUAUUUUUAAGCAAACCAAGCUGAUCUUUACAAGGCUGGGAUUCAUGAGACCAUACUGCAAACCACACCCUCACAAAAAGGGGGGAAAUAAAAA
rnacentral:lncRNA from 1 species